AUGUUUAAGGUAUUCAAUUGUCAAAAAAAAAAAACAUGCCGAUACUUCACAGAGUCGAUAUGACUGUUUUAUUAUUAUUAUCAUUAUUUUUAUACGAGCCUCACCCAAGUGUGUAGAUGACUUGAAACGAUGAUCAGAGUUAGUUACGUUGAUAUCAUUAAUUAAUUAUUUUUAUUACAUUUUAAAGCCAUCCUGAUAAUCCUUUAAUAAACCCUAAGUAGGAUUCUAAUGUCUACUAUGUCUGACAGCUAUUUGUAUCUGUUUAAAUCCACGUUAGUACAUUGGCAUUGAAACAGUUUUACUCUCUGUUGCUAAGAAUGUGAUACAAGGCAGUAACAGGAGAGUAGUGUGCAGAAUGACGUCUAUGGGGUCUCCAGGUGAUCUAAAGAUUCUUCGUAGGAGUUCUUCAGCUUGAAAAGUUCAGUACUUAGACAUCUGGCUUCCUUCUGAGAGCUCUCUAGCUCAGCCUGUGACUCUUCAUAUUUUUGCUUCCACUCAGCCAGGACCUAGAUGCAUAAUUUUUAUGCUGCUGCAGCUGCAUUAGACCUCUCCAGGUCCACCAUAAGAUCUUCGAUCUCAUUCUGGAGUCUGUGUUUGGUCUUUUCAAGAGAGGAACAUUUUGCAUUUACUGCUUCAACAGCUUCUUCAGCCUCCUGCAAACGUUGAGCCAGUUUCUUCCUGUGUUAGAAAAUAAAAUGAAAUUGGAGAAAAAUAUUUGUUGGAGUGCACAGAUGCACUUUGAUUAACGGCACACCGCAAUUGAAAUAAACAGACAUAUUAUAUUUUCACCUUCUGUUUGGGGAAGCUUGGCCAACUAACAGAAAAACUUUUUGUUCGUCUUACAUUUGAAAAGAAACAUAGCACAAACAAAAAGCUUAUCUAUCAGUAGAGAAGUUUAACUUUAAGGAAAAGUCUAACUUUGUAUGAGCAUAGAAAUAUUAGAAUAUCUUACUUGGCUU